CGCCGAGGCUGCUGGUGGGUGCUUCUUCAGGGGCAAAGAAGAAAUCUUCAAGAAGAAGGUGCCCGAAGCUGAUGCCGCGGCAAGUGACUGAUGUUUACAUGUUGGGUCACGAUGAAAAUCAUUUGUUGUUGCGGAAAGUUAUAGGAGCAACAUUCCUGAUGGCGAUGGGUACGUGAUGAAGUUCAUAAACGUAUGAUAAGAACUGAGAACUCAGAGAACUUCAAGGACAAGAUCAACGAGGUGACCGGUGUUAUGGCGGCUGUGUAUGGUGGUGACCCCAGCCGCAGGACUCCCCAGGCCAUCUGCAUCUGCCCUACCAGGGAGAUUGCACAGCAGGUGUUGAUGCAGGCAGAUAUGUUCCUGACCAAGCUGACCAGCAUGUGCAAGAGGAGCACAGAGAAGGGCU